UCUUGUGGGAGGGUAUGAAGGUCAAUUUGCUAUUACCUCUUUAUUAUAUAGGAUUACUACACUGUGACCUAAUGCAGAAAUAUGGAUAGGCAUACAUGUGUAAAUAGAAUGCAAAAAAGAGAAAAGAUCUUUACUUCUAGGUUUUAAUACUAUCUUAAAAAUGGUCAGAUCAGCUGCUA